UCGCCGCAGUGAGUAGUGAGCGAGCGGCCAUGUUGUGCGGGGGGGAGGGGAGGAAGGAGUUGAGAGGAGACGGGAGAGACUCUCUCACACACACGGCACAAGAUGGCCGGGGAAGCAGCCGCAGCUGCAGCCGGGCUCCGGGGCGCUUUCCCCGCCGCUCUGGGCGGGGAGGCACGGCGAGCGUCCCGGGUGCCCGUCUCGAGUGGCAAGUCGGGCCCAGCGCUCUGGCGGUUCCGGGGCGACGGAGGGCGGCGAGCCGGGCUGCCGAGCGGGGCUGCCGACGGGCGGAGGGUAAUGGCGCCGGGCUCCGGAGCUCUGCCCGCGCCUCUCCCUCGCCAGGCGGGCGCGGGACCGUCCUUCGCCGCGGGCAGGGCGAGAGGGGGAGCAGCGCCCCGUUCUCAGGGCCCUUGUCGCCUGCCGGCGGGCUGCUCUUCUCCGGGUAGAAUUCCAUGAACAAUACCUUGUUUCCUGACUGGCUUCCAGAAAAAUCGUUCAUACCUUCAUUUCUUAGGUUAUUACUGGAUAUUGUUGCUUCCAGAGAUUUGGAUGGCUGGUUGGGUAAAAGACCUUGUGCAAAGUUCUGUGCUGUGCAGAGCAGAUGUGUUGAGGAAUUGAUUUACUCACUGUAAUCAAAAUAACUGCUCUUGGUUGAAGCACUGAAUCCAAUCAGAUGAAGAGUGUCAAAAGGAGUCUACGAGUGAGACACCAAGAUGACAGUUCCACUGUUGAUUGAGAGGUUGUGGAAAUGGACUAAUGCAUGAGUGCUGUGAUAUGUCUGUCCAAGAAAAGGAUGUUAAAACAUGGACUCUCGUGUUAUUAAACCAGAGAAGAUCUGGGUUGUGAUCAUCCUGUCAAAAUGGACUUUGCACUUGAAUGAUUCAGGGGACUGUAUCAGUGACUGUCCAGUGAUGGAUCUGUUUGAGGACUGGGUGGCAAAAUUUUCUUCUUGGGUUGUGUAUGCAUAAGAGUCAAAUUCAUGUGGUAAGAGACCUGUUGCUAACCCUUUGGAGAAAAUGUAAUGUUUUUUUAAGUGACUUAAUAAAAGGUUUUGGUUUCUUUCACA